ACCCUAGCCUCCUUUCCAACCCAAAAAUUAUUUCGUUUUUCUUCUUUUCUUCUGCCGAAACAAACCAAAUGACCCUGCGACCUCCUCCCUUUUGACCCUCCCUUCUCCGACAACACUCCCUUCUGAUGUCUUCCCAACCAAUCAACAACACUCUCCGAUCCACUCUAAUCUCUUCGUUAGAGCAAACUUCAAUUGAAGGAGCUCGUUCAAUUUCCACUCAAAUUGUGAGAAAUCGGAUGAAGAGUGCGAAGAAUAUCCAGAAAAUCACUAAGGCUAUGAAGAUGGUUGCUGCAGCCAAACUACGAGCUGUUCAAAAUAGGGCUGAAAAUUCACGUGGUUUGUGGCAGGCGUUUACGGCUCUUCUCGGUGAUGCUAUCGCACAACUAUUGAUGUCAAGAAGAAUGUUAUUGAUGUUUCUUCAGGCAAAUGUCUUUGUGGUGGAAUCAACUCUACCUCUGUAAAGAUAAGCAAAGUGUUGAGCAAGUUGAAUUCUGGGAUGUUUCUGGAUUCAAACAACAACCUGCAACUUGCAGCUUCAUUUCCUCACAAUAACACUACCGUACCUUCCACCUUUCAAAAUUCGGAAUAAUAUUGUGUGUUUGUUUCUGUUUGCAGAGAAAGAAUUUUUGUGUUGCUGUUUAUUCUCUUGCAAGUACCACAUUAUUUCGUUCUAAUAUAAAGAAUGGCAUAUUAGAGUAGAGAAGGUGGAUCCGCCGCUAAAGCCAAAUCGCAACCAUGAGCUAUUGUCAAAGGCACGUUGCUCCGGCCAUCAUGAUUAUCACCGCGAGCACAACCUCUCAACGUGUUGCUGUUUCAAAAAUUUGUAGGAGUUAUAUGGAAUUUUUUUUAAUAUGAAAUUUGUAGGCUCGAGAUACCCCCACAUUUAAGGAAAAAAGUCGAAAGGGUAGUGAAAAUGUGGCUAGGAAUGUAUACCCACAUGUAUUAUCUCGUGGAGGGUAUCGCUUGCUCGAGGAGACAAUUAAAAAUGAAAGGAUAUCAUCAAGAGAUGUAGCUACAUUAGAUGAUACAAGAAGAUUUGUAUGAUUUGCGAUUCCGUUGGGCAAAAUAUUUCUUUGAGUUAUAUAAAGAAUAGCUUUAUGUUUCUCGUGGAUGCGUGUUGGUUUUUCAAGUGCGCGAAAGGAUUUAAAUGGUUGGAUAUUUAUUAUGUUAUUAUUUUGUAGUAGUAAACCGUGCGUAAACCUUUCUUAUCAUUUUGUGCACUCGUGUAUCCUAGAUUAAUACUUUUGUAUAUUUUGACGAACAUAUAUAUGCAUCUUAGCUAUUUGGUGCAAUUAAAUGUGGUCUGAUGUACAAACUGAUGUAAACACUAUCUAUUACAUCAGGCCAAGGUGAAAACUGAUGUAAAAUGUGGCGUAUAUUUUUUUUUAAAAAAAUUGCAUUAUUUUUCACAUCAGACCUAUGAACUCAACCGAUGUGGUAUGAUAAUUUUCACAUCGGGCCUUGGCCCGAUGUAAAAUGUCUCAGACUUAUUACAUCGCCUGGCUUUACAUCGGGCCCAAAACUGAUGUAAAAAGUACUUUUCGCCCGAUGUAAAAAGUACUUUCUGCACUAGUGUAAUUAAUUAAUGAGGUUAUUAAUCGAUUAAGUGACAUUGAAAAUCAAAUGUUCCUAUUUUGGCUUUGACUAAUUGAUUAAUUACAUGUUUUACUAGAUUAAAAGCUCGAAAAUGCCCAUGGAUUAUUACCUUUUUUAGCUUGAUUUUUUUCUAUAUAAAGGAGAAUUCUCCUCAUUUCAAAAUACACUAAUUUUCUAAAUAGAAAUUCUAUGCUAUCUUUCUAUCUCUCAUUCUUUUAUAAAGUUCCUUUUCACUAUAGUUACCUUAAUUCC